AUUGAACGCUGGCGGCAUGCUUUACACAUGCAAGUCGAACGGUAACAGGGUGCUUGCACCGCUGACGAGUGGCGAACGGGUGAGUAAUGCGUCGGAACGUGCCGAGUAGUGGGGGAUAACGCAUCAAAAGGUGUGCUAAUACCGCAUACGUACUGAGGUAGAAAGUGGGGGACCUUCGGGCCUCACGCUAUUCGAGCGGCCGACGUCUGAUUAGCUAGUUGGUGAGGUAAAGGCUCACCAAGGCGACGAUCAGUAGCGGGUCUGAGAGGAUGAUCCUCCACACUGGGACUGAGACACGGCCCAGACUCCUACGGGAGGCAGCAGUGGGGAAUUUUGGACAAUGGGCGCAAGCCUGAUCCAGCCAUGCCGCGUGUCUGAAGAAGGCCUUCGGGUUGUAAAGGACUUUUGUCCGGGAGCAAAUACCCAGUGCUAAUAACGCUGGGGGCUGAGAGUACCGGAAGAAUAAGCACCGGCUAACUACGUGCCAGCCGCCGCCGUAAUAC
rnacentral:rRNA from 1 species